rnacentral:rRNA from 1 species
UACGAAGGGGGCUAGCGUUGUUCGGAAUUACUGGGCGUAAAGGGCGCGUAGGCGGUGUGUCAAGUCAGGCGUGAAAGCCCCGGGCUCAACCUGGGAACCGCGCUUGAGACUGGCACGCUCGAGUUCGGGGGAGGAUGGUGGAAUUCCCAGUGUAGAGGUGAAAUUCGUAGAUAUUGGGAAGAACACCGAUGGCGAAGGCAGCCAUCUGGACCGACACUGACGCUGAGGCGCGAAAGCGUGGGGAGCAAACAGG